UUGUAUUUAGAUAAAUAAGGAGUCGGACCUGCCCGGUGAGAAGUUUUCUUUAACGGCCGCGGUACUCUGACCGUGCAAAGGUAGCAUAAUCAUUUGCCUUAUAAUUGAAGGCUAGUAUGAAUGGUUUGACAAGAAUAUAACUGUCUCUUUUUGAUUUGGUAGAAUUUUAUUUUUGGGUGAAAAAGCCUAAAUAUUAUUAAAAGACAAGAAGACCCUAUCGAGCUUUAAAAAAUUUAAUGGGUGAAAUAAUAGUUUAAUUAUCUAUAGAUUUUAUAAAGGAUGAUGCCAUUAAAAAUUAUUUUGGUUGGGGCGACUGAGGAACAUAAAAAGCUUCCUUAAAAAUAAUUUAUACAUACUUGUGUUGAUCCAAAUUUGUUGAUUAAUGGAAUUAGUUACCGUAGGGAUAACAGCAUUAUCCUUCUUGAGAGUUCAUAUCGAAAGGAGGGUUUGUGACCUCGAUGUUGGACCAGAAUGUCCUAAAGAUGCAGAAGUCUUUAAGGGUUGGUCUGUUCGACCAUUAAAAUUCUA
rnacentral:rRNA from 1 species